UACGUAGGGGGCUAGCGUUGUCCGGAAUCAUUGGGCGUAAAGCGCGUGUAGGCGGCCCGGUAAGUCCGCUGUGAAAGUCGGGGGCUCAACCCUCGAAAGCCGGUGGAUACUGUCGGGCUCGAGUGCGGAAGAGGCGAGUGGAAUUCCCGGUGUAGCGGUGAAAUGCGCAGAUAUCGGGAGGAACACCUAUGGCGAAGGCAGCUCGCUGGGACGUUACUGACGCUGAGACGCGAAAGCGUGGGGAGCAAACAGG
rnacentral:rRNA from 1 species